AUUGAACGCUGGCGGCAGGCCUAACACAUGCAAGUCGAGCGGAUGACAGGAGCUUGCUCCUGAAUUCAGCGGCGGACGGGUGAGUAAUGCCUAGGAAUCUGCCUGGUAGUGGGGGACAACGUUUCGAAAGGAACGCUAAUACCGCAUACGUCCUACGGGAGAAAGCAGGGGACCUUCGGGCCUUGCGCUAUCAGAUGAGCCUAGGUCGGAUUAGCUAGUUGGUGAGGUAAUGGCUCACCAAGGCGACGAUCCGUAACUGGUCUGAGAGGAUGAUCAGUCACACUGGAACUGAGACACGGUCCAGACUCCUACGGGAGGCAGCAGUGGGGAAUAUUGGACAAUGGGCGAAAGCCUGAUCCAGCCAUGCCGCGUGUGUGAAGAAGGUCUUCGGAUUGUAAAGCACUUUAAGUUGGGAGGAAGGGCAUUAACCUAAUACGUUAGUGUUUUGACGUUACCGACAGAAUAAGCACCGGCUAACUCUGUGCCGGCAGCCGCGGUAAUACAGAGGGUGCAAGCGUUAAUCGGAAUUACUGGGCGUAAAGCGCGCGUAGGUGGUUUGUUAAGUUGGAUGUGAAAUCCCCGGGCUCAACCUGGGAACUGCAUUCAAAACUGACAAGCUAGAGUAUGGUAGAGGGUGGUGGAAUUUCCUGUGUAGCGGUGAAAUGCGUAGAUAUAGGAAGGAACACCAGUGGCGAAGGCGACCACCUGGACUGAUACUGACACUGAGGUGCGAAAGCGUGGGGAGCAAACAGG
rnacentral:rRNA from 1 species